rnacentral:lncRNA from 1 species
GGACUACAUCUACACUUUAAGCAUCAGCAGAGCUCAGGAAAAUUAACACUUCUAGAUUUACUCCUAUAUAAUUAGCAUAAAUGAAGGUGUUACUUACACCACUCAAAAUAAUUAAGAAAAAUUCUUUUGCCUUUGAUCACUGAACCUUGGCAUGCUUUCUAGUUGCCAAGAGCCAAAUUUCUGCUCAUCUAUACAUAAGUAGAGCAUGGGGAAAGACUUAAUGCACUACCUGAUUCUGUCUUAUGGCCAUCUCUGUACUUCUAGGUCACUGUGACUACUGAAGGACUCCUUGUCUCCGUAGGAGAAAGCAGCUGAAGUCCAUCGACGGUUAAAGGCAACUCACCAAGUCUUUCAUAGUAGACUACUGGAGUCUGGACUUACAUCUAUUAGAGGUGAUGGCAUGUUCCUUCUGUAAGGAGAAGACAACAUAUAAAGAAGAGGCCAGUGUUCCUGUACAGGCAAAUCUUGUCACUGAUCUCCAGGAACAAUAAGCCCUUGAAGACAGACUGGUUCCGGUUGGAAGGGACCUCUGGACACCACCUGGUCCACCCCUCUCCCCACUGAAGCGUGGUCACCAUGUCCAAGAGGGCUUUUGGACAUGUCCAAGGUCAGAGACUCCACCACCUCUCCCUGCUGGUGCGGCGCAGAGGGAAGCAGCUCGAUGUCAUGCAGCUGGAGUGAAGUUGGUGCUACUCUAUGGAGAACAAAACAAACCAGGAUGAGGCGUUAGACCUCUGGAAUUACGGCCACUUGAGUGAUGUUUGGGAAAGCAGGUACCUGUGCCAGCAUCAUGUUUCUUCAUGUUAAACUCAAUCAAGAACAUACUGUGAUUGAAAAUAUUUUCCCCCCCGCCACGUGCAAAUCAGGCCUGUGGUCCAUCACCCUACAUAACACCACUAGUGCAGCUGUGGGUAAAGAGAAGGAUGAAGUGUCAGUAGUGGAAACAGCAGCUGGGAAUGCUCUGCAUUUCAGUCAUCAUCACACCACAGCCCAGACACCAGAGGUAAAGCCACAGUCUCUGCUAGCUCUAAAAUGAUCUGCUUUUCACUGGCAAGGAACUAAAAUGUUUACAGUGAAAAAAAAAAGCUUAGAAUUUCCUUUCAAAGCAUAAUUAACUAAGCAAUUCACAACAACUGUUUUGUUUUUUCUGUACUCACCAUUCAGUAAUUACCACUUUGAAAAAAAAUAAUGGUUCUUUAAUGUGAGCUCCUGACAGCAAAGGCGCAGGGGAACUGACAUCCAAAGUUGUCAUCUGGUCUGGCUCACUGAUUUCUCCAGCACAACAUACAGCGUGGACUUAGGCGAUCACGAGGGUGAGCUGCAAAGAAGCCGACACGUAAAGGAGAACAAGCAUAACCUGGAAAACUACAGCAAAGAGCUUAUAACACUGCACCAUGAGAGAGAUUUACCAGAGAAGGACUACUUUGCAGGUGGAAAUGAUUUAUGUGCCAAAACGGAGAAAAUAACACUGAGGGAAGAAGGAAAAACAAAACAAAAGGAGGAAGAUGUGAUAAUAUGAAAGACAGCCCACAGAAUAAAGGAAGGGAAGGAAGUGAAAUGGCA